GACGAACGCUGGCGGCGUGCUUAACACAUGCAAGUCGAGCGGUAAGGCCCUUUCGGGGUACACGAGCGGCGAACGGGUGAGUAACACGUGGGUGACCUGCCCUCAGCUCUGGGAUAAGCCUGGGAAACCGGGUCUAAUACUGGAUAUGACUCCAUGACGCAUGUUGUGGGGUGGAAAGCCUUGUGCGGCUGAGGAUGGGCCCGCGGCCUAUCAGCUUGUUGGUGGGGUGANGGCCUACCAAGGCGACGACGGGUAGCCGGCCUGAGAGGCGACCGGCCACACUGGGACUGAGACACGGCCCAGACUCCUACGGGAGGCAGCAGUGGGGAAUCUUGCGCAAUGGGCGAAAGCCUGACGCAGCGACGCCGCGUGAGGGAUGACGGCCU
rnacentral:rRNA from 1 species